CAUCAACAAUAUCUUUAAUCUCCGGUGGAGGAAGUUGAUAUUUACCUCCCAAAGCUUCUACAUAUUACGAAAUGAAAGAAAUUUUGUCAAUUAGAAGCAACAAUCAAUCCAUCCAUGAUAACCUUUGCAAAGAACACAAAGUUAAAUAAAAAGGGAAAUAUUAUGUGCAUACUGGAUAUGUGAAUAACUCAAACACUAAUCAAUAGAAACAUAAGUGUUACACAAAGACACAUAUACAUAAAUACAAGAGUAGCUAUUAAGUGAAUAAAGAAUUCUUGCCAUACUCAUUUAAAAGCAAUCCACUGCUUAUACAAGAUAAAUUACAAGAGUAAUCGCAUUGUCUUAGUAAAACAACAAAAAGGAACUAUCAGCAACAAGAGAGAGAGAGAAAGUACUUGUCAUCCACUCACUAAUCAAUUAGACCCAAAGAAAGGCAGCACAGAAAAAUGCACGAGUUCUCACUCACAGCAUAUAGGAAGAUAUCAGGUAAAAAAUAGAGAAAUAAUAAAUUUAGUUAGAAUUCAACCUCCUUAAUGAAUUCUCCUGCUGCAUUAGACAAUAAUAAAAAAAAGAAACAAUCAAUAAGCUUCAAGCAAGCUCAAUCAAUUACGAAAGAUGUACUCAAAGGUGAAAAGAAGCAAGCCGAAGGAAACAUACAGAAACAAUCAGUGUAAACUAAAGCUGGAUAUUAGAAAGAAAAAGAAGCAAAUAGAGCACCAUCAUCUUCAAUUGAAGAAUUAACGGAGCCAUUGGAGCCACCGCCACCGUCUUCGGCUACAAAAGAUGUUGCAGAAACGAGAUUACCGAGCCUAGAAGUGGCAGCAGCCAUGAUUGGCCUUAAUCUGCCCGAGUUUGUAGAGUGAUGAGUUCUCGGGUGGCCAGGGGUGAAUCGGGGAAGCUUGAGAGAGGGGAAAAGAGGUAGAGAAGGGAGAGGGAAGGUGGAGGGCAGAGUAAGGCGAUGAUAGACCUUAUAAAGACCCAUCGCCUGUUU
rnacentral:misc_RNA from 1 species